rnacentral:misc_RNA from 1 species
GAUGAAGAACGCAGCGAAAUGCGAUAAGUAAUGUGAAUUGCAGAAUUCAGUGAAUCAUCGAAUCUUUGAACGCACCUUGCGCCUUUUGGUAUUCCGAAAGGCACACCUGUUUGAGCGUCAUGAAUACCUCAAUCCCCAUCUUUUCUUCGGAUUGAUGGGUGACUUGGAUGUUGAGCCCUGCUGGUAUGCUAUAUCAGCUGGCUUUGAACUUAUUAGCCGGCUCUGUACUGGAUCGGUUUGACUCGACGUGAUAAUAUUAUCGUUGAGGAUGCAUGUCUCAUGCAGCCGGAAAGUAUCAAAGCAGCUUCUAGCUUGCCUUUAGUGCACUUUUACAUUUUAGACCUCAGAUCAGGUGGGACUACCCGCUGAACUUAAGCAUAUCAAUAAGCGGAGGA